rnacentral:tRNA from 1 species
GAGGGGAUAGCUCAGUGGUAGAGCACAUGCUUAGCAUGCCUGGGGUCCUGGGUUCAAUCCCUAGUACCUCCU